CUGGCUCAGGACGAACGCUGGCGGCGUGCCUAAUACAUGCAAGUCGAGCGGACAGAUGGGAGCUUGCUCCCUGAUGUUAGCGGCGGACGGGUGAGUAACACGUGGGUAACCUGCCUGUAAGACUGGGAUAACUCCGGGAAACCGGGGCUAAUACCGGAUGGUUGUUUGAACCGCAUGGUUCAAACAUAAAAGGUGGCUUCGGCUACCACUUACAGAUGGACCCGCGGCGCAUUAGCUAGUUGGUGAGGUAACGGCUCACCAAGGCAACGAUGCGUAGCCGACCUGAGAGGGUGAUCGGCCACACUGGGACUGAGACACGGCCCAGACUCCUACGGGAGGCAGCAGUAGGGAAUCUUCCGCAAUGGACGAAAGUCUGACGGAGCAACGCCGCGUGAGUGAUGAAGGUUUUCGGAUCGUAAAGCUCUGUUGUUAGGGAAGAACAAGUACCGUUCGAAUAGGGCGGUACCUUGACGGUACCUAACCAGAAAGCCACGGCUAACUACGUGCCAGCAGCCGCGGUAAUACGUAGGUGGCAAGCGUUGUCCGGAAUUAUUGGGCGUAAAGGGCUCGCAGGCGGUUUCUUAAGUCUGAUGUGAAAGCCCCCGGCUCAACCGGGGAGGGUCAUUGGAAACUGGGGAACUUGAGUGCAGAAGAGGAGAGUGGAAUUCCACGUGUAGCGGUGAAAUGCGUAGAGAUGUGGAGGAACACCAGUGGCGAAGGCGACUCUCUGGUCUGUAACUGACGCUGAGGAGCGAAAGCGUGGGGAGCGAACAGGAUUAGAUACCCUGGUAGUCCACGCCGUAAACGAUGAGUGCUAAGUGUUAGGGGGUUUCCGCCCCUUAGUGCUGCAGCUAACGCAUUAAGCACUCCGCCUGGGGAGUACGGUCGCAAGACUGAAACUCAAAGGAAUUGACGGGGGCCCGCACAAGCGGUGGAGCAUGUGGUUUAAUUCGAAGCAACGCGAAGAACCUUACCAGGUCUUGACAUCCUCUGACAAUCCUAGAGAUAGGACGUCCCCUUCGGGGGCAGAGUGACAGGUGGUGCAUGGUUGUCGUCAGCUCGUGUCGUGAGAUGUUGGGUUAAGUCCCGCAACGAGCGCAACCCUUGAUCUUAGUUGCCAGCAUUCAGUUGGGCACUCUAAGGUGACUGCCGGUGACAAACCGGAGGAAGGUGGGGAUGACGUCAAAUCAUCAUGCCCCUUAUGACCUGGGCUACACACGUGCUACAAUGGACAGAACAAAGGGCAGCGAAACCGCGAGGUUAAGCCAAUCCCACAAAUCUGUUCUCAGUUCGGAUCGCAGUCUGCAACUCGACUGCGUGAAGCUGGAAUCGCUAGUAAUCGCGGAUCAGCAUGCCGCGGUGGAAUACCGUUCCCCGGGCCUUGUACACACCGCCCGUCACACCACGAGAGUUUGUAACACCCGAAGUCGGUGAGGUAACCUUUUAGGAGCCAGCCGCCGAAGGUGGGACAGAUGAUUGGGGU
rnacentral:rRNA from 1 species